GAAACGACUGCUAAGACUGGAUAGGAAGAUAAAAGGCAUCUUUUAUCUUUUAAAAGACCUAGUAAUAGGUAUGCUUUAGGAGGGGCUUGCGCCAUAUUAGUUAGUUGGUAGGGUAAUGGCCUACCAAGACGAUGAUGUGUAGCUGGACUGAGAGGUUGAACAGCCACAUUGGGACUGAGACACGGCCCAAACUCCUACGGGAGGCAGCAGUAGGGAAUUUUCGGCAAUGGAGGAAACUCUGACCGAGCAACGCCGCGUGAAUGACGAAGUACUUCGGUAUGUAAAGUUCUUUUAUCAAGGAAGAAAAGCAAAUGGCGAACCAUUUGUUUGCCGGUACUUGAUGAAUAAGCCCCGGCUAAUUAUGUCCCAGCAGCCGCGGUAAGACAUAAGGGGCAAGUGUUAUCCGGAAUUAUUGGGCGUAAAGGGUGCGUAGGCGGUCUAGUAAGUCAGUGGUGUAAUGGCAACGCUUAACGUUGUCCGGCUAUUGAAACUGCUAAACUUGAGUUAGAUAGAGGCGAGUGGAAUUCCAUGUGUAGCGGUAAAAUGCGUAAAUAUAUGGAGGAACACCAGAGGCGUAGGCGGCUCGCUGGGUCUUAACUGACGCUGAGGCACGAAAGCGUGGGGAGCAAACAGGAUUAGAUACCCUGGUAGUCCACGCCGUAAACGAUGAGUACUAAGUGUCGGGUUAAACCGGUACUGAAGUUAACACAUUAAGUACUCCGCCUGAGUAGUACGUACGCAAGUAUGAAACUUAAAGGAAUUGACGGGACUCCGCACAAGCGGUGGAUCAUGUUGUUUAAUUCGAAGAUACCCGAAAAACCUUACCAGGUCUUGACAUGUUUUUGCAAAAUGAUAGUAAUAUCGUGGAGGUUACCAGAAACACAGGUGGUGCAUGGUUGUCGUCAGCUCGUGUCGUGAGAUGUUAGGUUAAGUCCUAAAACGAGCGAAACCCUUAUCGUUAGUUGCCAGCACGUUAUGGUGGGGACUUUAACGAGACUGCCAAUGAUAAAUUGGAGGAAGGUGAAGAUCACGUCAAAUCAGCAUGCCCCUUAUGACCUGGGCUACAAACGUGAUACAAUGGCUGUUACAAAGGGUAGCUGAAACGCAAGUUCUUGGCCAAUCCCCAAAAACAGUCCCAGUCCGGAUUGAAGUCUGCAACUCGACUUCAUGAAGUUGGAAUCGCUAGUAAUCGCGAAUCAGCAUGUCGCGGUGAAUACGUUCUCGGGGUUUGUACACACCGCCCGUCAAA
rnacentral:rRNA from 1 species